CGCGCUGCACGCUGGGAGUGCAGGACCGCGAGGCCUCAAGGACCUGGGAGCCUCUUCUUCCGCCCUGGCAGGGUCUCCGCAGAAGAUUUGUUGCCGUCAUGUCGGCUGCGAUUGCAGCUCUGGCCGCUUCCUAUGGUUCGGGUUCAGGGUCCGAAUCGGACUCGGACAGUGAGAGCAGUCGGUGUCCGCUGCCAGCCGCCGACUCCCUCAUGCACUUGACUAAAUCGCCUUCAUCAAAGCCGUCUCUAGCAGUGGCAGUGGACUCGGCUCCGGAGGUGGCAGUUAAGGAAGAUUUGGAGACUGGAGUUCACCUUGACCCUGCCGUCAAAGAAGUUCAGUAUAAUCCUACCUAUGAGACCAUGUUUGCUCCUGAGUUUGGACCAGAAAAUCCCUUUAGGACACAGCAAAUGGCUGCCCCUAGAAAUAUGCUUUCUGGAUAUGCUGAACCAGCUCAUAUCAAUGAUUUCAUGUUUGAGCAGCAAAGGAGAACUUUUGCAACAUAUGGUUAUGCAUUAGACCCUUCAUUAGAUAAUCAUCAAGUGUCUGCUAAAUAUAUAGGUUCUGUAGAAGAAGCUGAAAAAAAUCAAGGUUUAACUGUAUUUGAAACUGGUCAGAAGAAAACAGAAAAGAGGAAAAAGUUUAAAGAAAAUGAUGCAUCCAAUAUUGAUGGUUUUUUGGGACCAUGGGCAAAAUAUGUGGAUGAAAAAGAUGUAGCCAAACCUUCAGAAGAAGAGCAAAAAGAAUUGGAUGAAAUCACAGCAAAGAGGCAGAAAAAAGGAAAACAGGAAGAAGAGAAACCUGGGGAGGAGAAGACAAUCUUACAUGGUAACAUAUUUUUUGUACAUCUUCAUUUUUAUGAAAAACCUUCAUAUUUACUCUGUUCGCUGUUCAUACGAUAUCAAUUACCCUUACUAUCAGCUGUAAUAAAAUCAUUAUGUUAAGUAUAAUUGUGUUGGACAAUUUGUAUCCCAAGGAAAUUACAGCAGACUUCUGUAUACUGAUAAAGGAGAAAAAAUAGCAUGAUUAAUGAUAGCCACAGAUAAUUUUUUUCCAAGUGUGAAUGAAUUUUAUUAAAUGGUAGAUAAAAAAGAAACUUGAAUAGUCCACAAUCUAUUCUUUCGUAAGAUAAAGUUGACUCUUUUGGUGUAUUAAUAGUGCCCUAGUCAUUUUAACUGUUUUUAAUGAAGCCAAAUACUCAGGUAUCCUCACAGUUCAUAAUUGUUAUUCAGCUAUAUUCAGAAUAAACUUGGAUUUUCAUGUGAAAAGAUGGAGCUUAAGGCUCUCAUACUUAUUUUGACUUGUAGAAGGAAAUGUAUAUUCACCAAAAUAAAUCGUAAGUAUUCUAGAAUGUACCUGUUAAUAAUUAGUUAUAUUUAGGAAAAUACAUAGUGAUUAUCUAAAACUGUAAAGAAUAGCUUACCGUUUACAGUGUUGCUUAUUCUAAUGUUAUAUUACAUCAGAUAUUUAGGUUUGAUGAAGCCAUAUUUGGUUCUUCAAGCUUCAGUUUUAUCUCCAAGGAGUCUAUUUAGUACUAUGGUACUUAAAACUAUAAUAACAAUAAUAUAAUAAUAACAUUUAUUGAGUACUUACUCUGUGCCAGGCAUGCUGCUAAUUGCUGUAUAUACACUAUGUCAUUUAAUUCUCACAGGUGACUUUAUUGUAAAAUUUGUGAUGAAAGUGGGAAAAGAUAAAUGAAAAGGAACUGGAAGGGCAUAAGAGAGGAAAGCAGGGGAAAAGGAUAGUUGAUAUAUUUUGUUUUGUUUUAACUUCCUUCUUAACCUGUUUUAUUUCUGCUUCUUUACCAGUGACUAACAAGGCCCAAGUAUUAUCUUCCCUUGCUAUAAUUAUGCCACAGUGAAGUCUUUAUAGAUUACUAAGAUGUGUAAGUGAUGAAAAGAAGUAUAGAUCUUAUCUAAAGGUCUAUAAUCUCUGGGUAUUUAGGAAUUUCGAAAUACUACCUCUAGUUGUAAAUGAUAGCAGUUAUUUUAAGCACUUAAAUCUUAGCUGACUCAUGAUCUUGACAUCAUUGGAGUGUUAUUACCUAAACCUUAAUAUGGAAUGAUAUACCUGUGAAUAAAAUGUUAUUUUAAGAAUGUUAGGUUUCAUGACUAUGGGUUGUAUUUGUUUAUUGAUUUUCUUUGCCUUUUUGUUUCAGUUAAAGAAAUGUAUGACUAUCAAGGCAGGUCCUAUCUUCACAUACCUCAGGAUGUUGGUGUUAAUCUACGGUCAACUAUGCCACCUGAGAAGUGUUAUCUUCCCAAAAAACAAAUUCAUGUGUGGUCUGGACACACAAAGGGCGUCAGUGCAGUCAGAUUGUUUCCUCUCUCUGGCCAUUUAUUGCUGUCUUGUUCCAUGGACUGUAAAAUUAAGCUAUGGGAGGUUUAUGGAGAACGGCGCUGUCUGAGAACAUUUAUUGGUCACAGUAAGGCUGUUAGGGAUAUCUGCUUCAAUACUGCAGGAACACAGUUCCUCAGUGCAGCCUAUGACAGGUAUCUUAAGCUCUGGGACACUGAGACAGGACAGUGUAUAUCAAGAUUUACAAACCGAAAAGUACCUUAUUGUGUCAAAUUCAAUCCUGAUGAAGAUAAGCAAAAUCUCUUUGUGGCUGGGAUGUCUGAUAAGAAGAUUGUGCAAUGGGACAUUCGAAGUGGAGAAAUUGUGCAGGAAUAUGAUCGGCAUUUGGGAGCUGUCAACACCAUUGUUUUUGUGGAUGAGAAUAGGAGAUUUGUGAGCACAUCUGAUGAUAAAAGCCUAAGAGUUUGGGAAUGGGAUAUCCCUGUGGAUUUCAAGUACAUAGCAGAACCCAGUAUGCACUCAAUGCCUGCAGUGACUUUGUCUCCAAAUGGAAAAUGGCUAGCAUGCCAAUCAAUGGACAACCAAAUCUUAAUUUUUGGAGCACAGAACAGAUUUAGAUUAAAUAAGAAAAAAAUUUUUAAGGGCCAUAUGGUAGCAGGCUAUGCUUGUCAGGUGGACUUUUCACCAGACAUGAGUUAUGUGAUUUCAGGAGAUGGAAAUGGAAAAUUAAACAUUUGGGACUGGAAGACCACAAAACUCUACAGUCGAUUUAAAGCUCAUGAUAAAGUGUGUAUAGGUGCAGUGUGGCAUCCUCAUGAAACUUCUAAGGUCAUAACAUGUGGUUGGGAUGGUCUCAUUAAAUUGUGGGAUUAAUGAGAUUAAUCCUUAAACUAGCUGGGAUCAUUUUUGAUCCAUUGUCAUAUUUAUAUUUAAUUAUUAAAUGUAUCUGAUGAUAACUUGAUUUACAGAUAAUGUUGAUGACAUUGACCCUUUGUUUAAAAAAAGAAACUGUAAAUUUGACAUAAUUUCAUUUGCAACUUCAUUUUGUUUUUUAUAAAUGUUAUUUAUACAGAAA
rnacentral:sRNA from 1 species